rnacentral:rRNA from 1 species
AUUGAACGCUGGCGGCAGGCUUAACACAUGCAAGUCGAACGGUAGCAGGAGAAAGCUUGCUUUCUUGCUGACGAGUGGCGGACGGGUGAGUAAUGCUUGGGAAUCUGGCUUAUGGAGGGGGAUAACUACUGGAAACGGUAGCUAAUACCGCGUAAUAUCGAGGGAUUAAAGGGUGGGACUUUCGGGCCACCUGCCAUAAGAUGAGCCCAAGUGGGAUUAGGUAGUUGGUGGGGUAAAGGCCUACCAAGCCUACGAUCUCUAGCUGGUCUGAGAGGAUGGCCAGCCACACUGGAACUGAGACACGGUCCAGACUCCUACGGGAGGCAGCAGUGGGGAAUAUUGCACAAUGGGGGGAACCCUGAUGCAGCCAUGCCGCGUGAAUGAAGAAGGCCUUCGGGUUGUAAAGUUCUUUCGGUGAUGAGGAAGGUGUUUUGUUUAAUAGACAAAGCAAUUGACGUUAGUCACAGAAGAAGCACCGGCUAACUCCGU